AUUGAACGCUGGCGGCAGGCCUAACACAUGCAAGUCGAACGAGUGGCGGACGGGUGAGUAAUGUCUGGGAAACUGCCUGAUGGAGGGGGAUAACUAAUGGAAACGGUAGCUAAUACCGCAUACCAUCAGAUGUGCCAAGAUUGGAUUAGCUAGUUGGUGGGGUAAAGGCUCACCAAGGCGACGAUCCCUAGCUGGUCUGAGAGGAUGACCAGCCAAACUGUGACUGGGACACGGUCCAGACGCCUCAGGGAGGCAGCAGGUGGGAAAAUUGCACAAUGGGCUGAAGCCUGAUGCAGCCAUGCCGGGUGUAUGAAGAAGGCCUUCGGGUUGUAAAGUACUUUUAGCGGGGAGGCGUUACCCUCAGAAUAAGCACCGGCUAACUCCGUGCCAGCAGCCGCGGUAAUUC
rnacentral:rRNA from 1 species